rnacentral:rRNA from 1 species
AGUGGAUGGGGAGCAACCUAGUUGUGCGUGUGUAAAGGUAGUGCCAAGAAAAGCGAUGAUCAUGUUGAAAAUCAAUUCCCGGUACCCGAAACCGACACAGGUGGGCAAGUAGAGAAUACUAAGGGGCGCGAGGUAACUCUCUCCAAGGAACUCGGCAAAAUGACCCCGUAACUUAGGGAGAAGGGGUGCCACCGAGAGGUGGUCGCAGUGAAGAGGCCCAGGCGACUGUUUAGCAAAAACAUAGGUCUCUGCAAACUCGAAAGAGGAGGUAUAGGGGCUGACGCCUGCCCAGUGCCGGAAGGUUAAAGAAGUUGGUCAGUUUUAGGAUGAAGCUAGCGACUGAAGCCCCGGUGAACGGCGGCCGUAACUAUAACGGUCCUAAGGUAGCGAAAUUCCUUGUCGGGUAAGUUCCGACCCGCACGAAAGGCGUAACGAUCUGGGCGCUGUCUCGGAGAGAGGCUCGGCGAAAUAGGAUUGUCUGUGAAGAUACGGACUACCUGCAUUUGGACAGAAAGACCCUAUGAAGCUUUACUAUAGCUUGGAAUUGUGUUCGGGCUUCCUGUGCGCAGGAUAGGUGGGAGGCGUAGAAGGUAUUCUUGUGGGGAUACUGGAGCCAACGGUGAGAUACCACUCUCAGGAGGCUAGAAUUCUAACUUAAUUAAGGACAGUUUUCAGGUGGGUAGUUUGACUGGGGCGGUCGCCUCCAAAAAGGUAACGGAGGCGUACAAAGGUUCCCUCAGACUGGUUGGAAAUCAGUCGAAGAGUGCAAAGGCAGAAGGGAGCUUGACUGCGAGAAGUACAGUUCGAGCAGGGUGGAAACACGGUCUUAGUGAUCCGACGGUGCUGUGUGAAGGGCCGUCGCUCAACGGAUAAAAGUUACUCUAAGGAUAACAGGCUGAUCUCCCCCAAGAGUUCACAUCGACGGGGAGGUUUGGCACCUCGAUGUCGGCUCAUCGCAACCUGGGGCGGAAGUACGUCCCAAGGGUUGGGCUGUUCGCCCAUUAAAGCGGUACGUGAGCUGGGUUCAGAACGUCGUGAGACAGUUCGGUCCAUAUCCGAUGUAGGCGUGAGAAUAUUGAGAGGAGCCUUCCUUAGUACGAGAGGACCGGGAAGGACGCACCGCUGGUGUACCUGUUAUGAUGCCAAUUGUAAACGCAGGGUAGCCAAGUGCGGAGAGGAUAACCGCUGAAAGCAUCUAAGUGGGAAGCCCACCUCAAGAUGAGUAUUCUGGUGUAAGGUCACGGGAAGACGACCCGUAAAUAGGCACGAGGUGGAAGUGCAGAGAUGUAUGAAGCCGAAGUGUACUAAUAGACCGUCGGCUUGACC